GAUGAACGCUGGCGGCGUGCCUAAUACAUGCAAGUCGAGCGAACAGACGAGGAGCUUGCUCCUCUGACGUUAGCGGCGGACGGGUGAGUAACACGUGGAUAACCUACCUAUAAGACUGGGAUAACUUCGGGAAACCGUAGCUAAUACCGGAUAAUAUAUUGAACCGCAUGGUUCAAUAGUGAAAGACGGUUUUGCUGUCACUUAUAGAUGGAUCCGCGCCGCAUUAGCUAGUUGGUAAGGUAACGGCUUACCAAGGCAACGAUGCGUAGCCGACCUGAGAGGGUGAUCGGCCACACUGGAACUGAGACACGGUCCAGACUCCGACGGGAGGAAGCAGUAGGGAAUCUUCCGCAAUGGGCGAAAGCCUGACGGAGCAACGCCGCGUGAGUGAUGAAGGUCUUCGGAUCGUAAAACUCUGUUAUUAGGGAAGAACAAAUGUGUAAGUAACUAUGCACGUCUUGACGGUACCUAAUCAGAAAGCCACGGCUAACUACGUG
rnacentral:rRNA from 1 species